AAUGAACGUUGGCGGCGUGGAUUAGGCAUGCAAGUCGAGCGCGAUAUGUAGCAAUACAUGGAGAGCGGCGAAAGGGAGAGUAAUACGUAGGUAUCUACCCUCGGGUCUGGGAUAGCAGCGGGAAACUACUGGUAAUACCAGAUAACGUCUCCGGACCAAAGGUGUGAUUCCACCUGAGGAGGAGCCUACGGCCUAUUAGCUAGUUGGUAGGGUAACGGCCUACCAAGGCAAAGAUGGGUAUGGGGUGUGAGAGCAUGCCCCCACUCACUGGGACUGAGACACUGCCCAGACACCUACGGGUGGCUGCAGUCGAGAAUCUUCGGCAAUGGGCGAAAGCCUGACCGAGCGACGCCGCGUGCGGGAUGAAGGCCUUCGGGUUGUAAACCGCUGUCGUAGUGGAGGAAAUGUAGGAGAGUUAUCUCUAGGAGGAAGGAGAGGCUAAGCUCGUGCCAGCAGCCGCGGUAAU
rnacentral:rRNA from 1 species